UCUCAGUGGCACCAGUACCCCAAGUAUUAGGAAGGCAGGAACUAACCCAAAAGCAGAGUGAGGAGGAGGAGGAGGAGGAGGUCGGAGAGGAAAGCGAGAGGGAAUACAAGAAGGAACGCACUCCCGUGCCCAGCAGACUCUAGCCACUCUCUCCCCAGCUACACGCAUGGUGAGGCCUACUCAAGCCUGUCUUUGUUCCAGACAAAAAUUUCACAGAUCCUAUCCCCAAGCUCGGGACAGGGCAGCUGCCUGAUGUCAAACCCACGCCGGCCCAGCACUGACAGCCUGGUGUUCUCGGGCUGCAUCCUGAACACAAUGACAAAUAAAGCCACCAUUAGAAGAGGCAGUUCCGAACCGUUCUCACAGUUCUCCAUCCCCAGGCUCGUCUCAUCUAGAAAGCCUGAUUGGCAACAGCCAAAGGAUAAAUAUUUAAAAAUAAACCAGGGAACGCUAGCCCCUUCUCUUCUCCUCCCCCUCCCCUUCUCCAGGCCAGAGGUCUGCCCACUAAUGCUUAGCUGGCUGAUAAAUCACAAUUCUCCAACCCAGCCAAACCUGCUCCCUGCCACCCCCAUAUCCACUCUCUAAUGCUCCAUCCUUUCACUGGGGCAAGGCUAAAUAUGAUCCCUGACUGAAGAGACAGUGGAUGUCAGCAUUCCAGCCCCUCCUCCGAGCACAACUGGGUUUAGGUAGAUGUGUGUAAUUCUUCCAGAUGAUUCUAUUUUUAUUAAAUUAUAUACCCACACUGAUUUUGAAACUUGUGCUUAAAUGAUCUGGAGGCUUUAACCUGGGACAGAGGACAGAGACACACACAGACAUGUUCCCCAAAUAAAUACAAAUACAUCUGGAGCUGCAUUUCGCUCCAUGGUCUGAGCUCACCCCACCAAUAUGAGGUAGUUUUAUUUCGGGGCCAGGUACCUGCUGGGUGCCCCAGGCCUCCUGGGUAUGAUCCAGAAUACAGGCCAACCUCCACGCAGCACAGCUAGGGAAGGGUGGCAUGCAAGGAGGGCCUACGCACAUGUUUUGUUUCACGUUUCUCUGACAGGAACCUCGAGGCCUUCAUGUAUGAUGGCAGCGCUAAUUCCACAGAUUAAUUUUUACCCCACCGUCGAUGGAAUGUUAUCUGGUUUAUUUACCUGCUCUUCCCAACCCACCUCCUGAACCUUUCAAUCAUAUGCACGAUACAGACACAAAUGAGUCAUCUGCCUUUAAAUCUGUGAUUCAAAAGAGUUUUCCCAAAAUAAUUUUAAGUGGCGAAGCCCAAGUCUCAAGGAAGCAAAAAUACAGAAGUUGUCUUAAAACCGCCUUAAAUGUUAGGCAAAUAGGUCACCACGGUCUCUUUUUUUCUUUCUUUUUUGGAAACAAAAAUAUUUUUUCUGAAAGGGCAAAGAGAAUUUGCCAUGCAAGACUUUUAUACCCAGGGGGAUUUUUACAUUUGCUUUUCUAAACCUUGAAAUUGAGAAUUUUAAUGACAAGGCAGACAGAUGCUUACAGACAGCAUCCCAGUCAAGGGUCUACAUGCUAAGGAGAGUGGCGCUUUGUUUGGGCCAAGGGGGGAGAAAAAGGAGGUGGACUUCCCCCCCUGGUCCUGAGCCAUCCCCCCAACUGUCUGGCACAUCCCUUCACAGUGGCCAGCAAACCACCGAAUUCUUGGAGGGGACGGAGGUCGGGGCAGAAGAAAGGAAACAGGAAACAAGAGAGGAAAAGAAAAUGGACAGGCAGGGGAUAUUGUCUGUUUAUAUAAAUCCUACUUUAAAAAAAAAAAAUCUCAACCCACUAUCAAUCCCAUAUACACCAACUAGUUUAAACAGUGCAUUCUGUCGGACUCCCAGCCAUCCAUCUCAGAUUUUUUUUUUCUUUUUAAUGAGUAAUUUCACGUAGGUUUCAAUUCUUCCCUAGCCAAUGAUCACUUUUAAGUAGUGGACAGGAUACCAGGAGAUAAACAAAAGAUGACCCUUUCACGCUUUACCCCGGGUGAUGCUAGAAUCCCAUUUCUUCGAUUCAUCUUUUCACCGCAGUUCAUUUGUGCUGGAAGUCUGUGCUAAUCUGGCUUCA